AUGUUGUUUAAUUCGAUGAUACGCGAAGAACCUUACCAGGUCUUGACAUCCCCUGCAAAGACUAUGGAGACAUAGUGGAGGUUAUCAGGGAGACAGGUGGUGCAUGGUUGUCGUCAGCUCGUGUCGUGAGAUGUUGGGUUAAGUCCCGCAACGAGCGCAACCCUUAUUGCUAGUUACCAUCAUUGAGUUGGGGACUCUAGCGAGACUGCCAGUGAUAAACUGGAGGAAGUGGGGAUGACGUCAAAUCAUCAUGCCCCUUAUGACCUGGGCUACAAACGUGAUACAAUGGUUGAAACAAAGGGCAGCGAAGCAGUGAUGUGGAGCGAACCCAAAAAAGCAGUCUCAGUUCGGAUUGAAGUCUGCAACUCGACUUCAUGAAGUCGGAAUCGCUAGUAAUCGCGGAUCAGCAUGCCGCGGUGAAUACGUUCCCGGGCCUU
rnacentral:rRNA from 1 species